ensembl:lincRNA linc-28 ncRNA
CAUUUCGUUUUGCGUGACCAUAGUGAGAGAUGUAUCUACGAGUUAGAGGUACUCUCCGGCAGUCUUCAACUAAAUAAUCUUUGUAGCUGCCCUUGGUCAAUAAACAUGAGAAGC